rnacentral:misc_RNA from 1 species
GAUGAAGAACGCAGCGAAAUGCGAUAAGUAAUGUGAAUUGCAGAAUUCAGUGAAUCAUCGAAUCUUUGAACGCACAUUGCGCCCGCCAGUAUUCUGGCGGGCAUGCCUGUUCGAGCGUCAUUUCAACCAUCAAGCCCCAGGCUUGUGUUGGGGACCUGCGGCUGCCGCAGGCCCUGAAAACCAGUGGCGGGCUCGCUGUCACACCGGGCGUAGUAGAUUUUAUCUCGCUCAGGGCGUGCUGCGGGUUCCGGCCGUUAAAAAGCCUUUUUUACCCAAGGUUGACCUCGGAUCAGGUAGGAAGAUCCGCUGAACUUAAGCAUAUCAAUAAGCGGAGGA